rnacentral:tRNA from 1 species
GACAGCUUGGCCGAGUGGUUAAGGCGGUAGACUAGAAAUCUACUGGGGUCACCCGCGUGAAGUUCAAAUUCUCACAGCGUGUCG